AUUGAACGCUAGCGGGAGGCCUUACACAUGCAAGUCGAACGAGUGGCGAACGGGUGAGUAAUGUAUCGGAACGUGCCCAGUAGCGGGGGAUAACUACGCGAAACGUCGCUAAUACCGCAUACUAUUUGAGCGGCCGAUAUCGGAUUAGCUAGUUGGUGGGGUAACGGCUCACCAAGGCGACGAUCCGUCGCUGGUUUGAGAGGAAGAAGAGCCAAACGGGGACUGAGACACGGCCCAGACUCCUACGGGAGGCAGCAGGGGGGAAUAUUCGACAAUGGGCGAAAGCCUGACGCAGCAAUGCCGCGGGAGUGAAGAAGGUUUUCGGAUUGUAAAGCUCUGUUGGUAGAGAAGCGGUAUCUACACAAAAAGCAACGGCUAACUACGUGCCAGCAGCCGCGGUAAUUC
rnacentral:rRNA from 1 species